rnacentral:lncRNA from 10 species
UUUUGCUCUUCACAAUAAAUCUUGCUGCUGCUCACUCUUUGGGUCCAUGCCAUCUUUAAGAGCUGUAACACUCACCGCGAAGGUCCGGGGCUCCAUUCUUGAAGUCAGCAAGACCAUGAACCCACCAGAAGGAACCAACUCUGGACAUAUCUUGGCAACCCAGAUGGGACUAUCUCCAAGCACAUGAAUUACAUGCAUAAAUACUGGACCUCCAGCGAUCAUCUUGAGGGUGUGAAAAGAGCUUGCAGAUGCAAACUACAUAAUAAGAAAACACAACAGAAAGAUGUAAGGAGCCAUGGUCAAUUAGGUCAUCGUGAUACCACAUUACAAUGCUGGGCUGCUUAUCACUGCAAUUUUAUUAUGAAGAGGAGAAAAAAAUAAAUUUUAUUGAAGUUGUUUCAUUGUAUCUCUGUUAUUGUAUCAGCCAAAUUGAUUUUCUAGCAGAUACAAGAUAUGUAGUGUAUACCAGUUGUUGUCUUUCUAUAACAGUAAUUUUCCUUUGGUGGAAAAGUUUGCUUCCACUAUGCAUGAUUUUAAUAAAUAUAAUCUUUCUUUGGA